UUAGCCUGCUCCUGAUUUAAAGAGCCGCAGUAUCCUAACUGUGCUAAGGUAGCAUAAUCAUUAGUUACUUAAUUUGUAACUAGAAUGAACGGCCCGACAAAAGAAUAACUUUAUUAUUUUUUUUGUUAAAUUAAUCUAAGAAUAAAAAAGUUCUUAUAAAUUAGAAAGACGAUAAGACCCUAAAACCUUAUAUAUAAAUAUUUUACUGGGGUGGUAAUUUAUUCUCCAUAAGUUAAAAUAACAUUAUGAAUGAUAUUAUCUAUUUAAUUAAUUCAAAAAGGUACUUUAGGGAUAACAGCAUAAUUUUUAUUUAGAGUUCUUAUCGACAUAAGAGAUUAUGACCUCGAUGUUGAAUUGAUUUAACUAUUUUAGGCAGCCCUCA
rnacentral:rRNA from 1 species